GGGUCGUUAGCUCAGUUGGUUAGAGCAGUUGACUUUUAAUCAAUUGGUCGCAGGUUCGAAUCCUGCACGACCCACCA
rnacentral:tRNA from 1 species